rnacentral:rRNA from 1 species
GAUGAACGCUGGCGGCGUGCCUAAUACAUGCAAGUCGAGCGAAUGGAUUAAGAGCUUGCUCUUAUGAAGUUAGCGGCGGACGGGUGAGUAACACGUGGGUAACCUGCCCAUAAGACUGGGAUAACUCCGGGAAACCGGGGCUAAUACCGGAUAACAUUUUGAACCGCAUGGUUCGAAAUUGAAAGGCGGCUUCGGCUGUCCCUUAUGGAUGGACCCGCGUCGCAUUAGCUAGUUGGUGAGGUAACGGCUCACCAAGGCAACGAUGCGUAGCCGACCUGCGAGGGUGAUUGGCCCCACGGGGACUGAGACACGGACCAGACUCCGACGGGAGGCAGCAGUAGGGAAUCUUCCGCAAUGGACGAAAGUCUGACGGAGCAACGCCGCGUGAGGGAUGAAGGCUUUCGGGUCGUAAAACUCUGUUGUUAGGGAAGAACAAGUGCUAGUUGAAUAAGCUGGCACCUUGACGGUACCUAACCAGAAAGCCACGGCUAACUACGUGCCAGCCGCCGCAGUAA